AGUAAUGCCUAGGAAUCUGCCUGGUAGUGGGGGACAACGUUUCGAAAGGAACGCUAAUACCGCAUACGUCCUACGGGAGAAAGCAGGGGACCUUCGGGCCUUGCGCUAUCAGAUGAGCCUAGGUCGGAUUAGCUUGUUGGUGAGGUAAUGGCUCACCAAGGCGACGAUCCGUAACUGGUCUGAGAGGAUGAUCAGUCACACUGGAACUGAGACACGGUCCAGACUCCUACGGGAGGCAGCAGUGGGGAAUAUUGGACAAUGGGCGAAAGCCUGAUCCAGCCAUGCCGCGUGUGUGAAGAAGGUCUUCGGAUUGUAAAGCACUUUAAGUUGGGAGGAAGGGUUGUAGAUUAAUACUCUGCAAUUUUGACGUUACCGACAGAAUAAGCACCGGCUAACUCUGUGCCAGCAGCCGCGGUAAUACAGAGGGUGCAAGCGUUAAUCGGAAUUACUGGGCGUAAAGCGCGCGUAGGUGGUUUGUUAAGUUGGAUGUGAAAGCCCCGGGCUCAACCUGGGAACUGCAUCCAAAACUGGCAAGCUAGAGUACGGUAGAGGGUGGUGGAAUUUCCUGUGUAGCGGUGAAAUGCGUAGAUAUAGGAAGGAACACCAGUGGCGAAGGCGACCACCUGGACUGAUACUGACACUGAGGUGCGAAAGCGUGGGGAGCAAACAGGAUUAGAUACCCUGGUAGUCCACGCCGUAA
rnacentral:rRNA from 1 species